GUAAAACUUAACUCUGUGCAUAAAGCACACGUGGAAAAAGAAGUCACAGUGAUGCACACAGUGACUGAAGCCUGAUGUUGCAGACACCAAAAGCUCAGUGAUGAAGCAGAUGCCCCACGUAGCCACGCAUCACUGUCCUGAAUGCAGAAAAAUACCCUCAAGGAAGAUGAGCCUCAGAUCACUCCAACCUUAAUAAAUGCUGCCAGAGUGGGUUCCACCCAUUAGCAGUUGUCAGCGGGUUGUCUUUGCUUAACUGGCAGCCUCACUCAGCUGCACUCAGCAGCACCUCCCUGGAAAAGCAGUUUGCAAACCUUCCUGGGAAGCAAAUGAACACAGUGGUGAUCACAACGUGCAGUACGACCUGAAAUGUCACCUGCUCACAGAACGUCAGAAUGCAUCAUCUUGGUCUUCUUUAGCAAUUCCUGCUGCUAGCUAUGUACUCCUAUUGGCAAGAACUAUCAAAUCAGCAUCCCGAGCCAGCAGC
rnacentral:lncRNA from 1 species